AGCGUACACGGUGGAUGCCCUGGCAGUCAGAGGCGAUGAAGGACGUGCUAAUCUGCGAUAAGCGUCGGUAAGGUGAUAUGAACCGUUAUAACCGGCGAUUUCCGAAUGGGGAAACCCAGUGUGUUUCGACACACUAUCAUUAACUGAAUCCAUAGGUUAAUGAGGCGAACCGGGGGAACUGAAACAUCUAAGUACCCCGAGGAAAAGAAAUCAACCGAGAUUCCCCCAGUAGCGGCGAGCGAACGGGGAGCAGCCCAGAGCCUGAAUCAGUGUGUGUGUUAGUGGAAGCGUCUGGAAAGGCGCGCGAUACAGGGUGACAGCCCCGUACACAAAAAUGCACAUGCUGUGAGCUCGAUGAGUAGGGCGGGACACGUGGUAUCCUGUCUGAAUAUGGGGGGACCAUCCUCCAAGGCUAAAUACUCCUGACUGACCGAUAGUGAACCAGUACCGUGAGGGAAAGGCGAAAAGAACCCCGGCGAGGGGAGUGAAAAAGAACCUGAAACCGUGUACGUACAAGCAGUGGGAGCACGCUUAGGCGUGUGACUGCGUACCUUUUGUAUAAUGGGUCAGCGACUUAUAUUCUGUAGCAAGGUUAACCGAAUAGGGGAGCCGAAGGGAAACCGAGUCUUAACUGGGCGUUAAGUUGCAGGGUAUAGACCCGAAACCCGGUGAUCUAGCCAUGGGCAGGUUGAAGGUUGGGUAACACUAACUGGAGGACCGAACCGACUAAUGUUGAAAAAUUAGCGGAUGACUUGUGGCUGGGGGUGAAAGGCCAAUCAAACCGGGAGAUAGCUGGUUCUCCCCGAAAGCUAUUUAGGUAGCGCCUCGUGAAUUCAUCUCCGGGGGUAGAGCACUGUUUCGGCAAGGGGGUCAUCCCGACUUACCAACCCGAUGCAAACUGCGAAUACCGGAGAAUGUUAUCACGGGAGACACACGGCGGGUGCUAACGUCCGUCGUGAAGAGGGAAACAACCCAGACCGCCAGCUAAGGUCCCAAAGUCAUGGUUAAGUGGGAAACGAUGUGGGAAGGCCCAGACAGCCAGGAUGUUGGCUUAGAAGCAGCCAUCAUUUAAAGAAAGCGUAAUAGCUCACUGGUCGAGUCGGCCUGCGCGGAAGAUGUAACGGGGCUAAACCAUGCACCGAAGCUGCGGCAGCGACACUAUGUGUUGUUGGGUAGGGGAGCGUUCUGUAAGCCUGUGAAGGUGUGCUGUGAGGCAUGCUGGAGGUAUCAGAAGUGCGAAUGCUGACAUAAGUAACGAUAAAGCGGGUGAAAAGCCCGCUCGCCGGAAGACCAAGGGUUCCUGUCCAACGUUAAUCGGGGCAGGGUGAGUCGACCCCUAAGGCGAGGCCGAAAGGCGUAGUCGAUGGGAAACAGGUUAAUAUUCCUGUACUUGGUGUUACUGCGAAGGGGGGACGGAGAAGGCUAUGUUGGCCGGGCGACGGUUGUCCCGGUUUAAGCGUGUAGGCUGGUUUUCCAGGCAAAUCCGGAAAAUCAAGGCUGAGGCGUGAUGACGAGGCACUACGGUGCUGAAGCAACAAAUGCCCUGCUUCCAGGAAAAGCCUCUAAGCAUCAGGUAACAUCAAAUCGUACCCCAAACCGACACAGGUGGUCAGGUAGAGAAUACCAAGGCGCUUGAGAGAACUCGGGUGAAGGAACUAGGCAAAAUGGUGCCGUAACUUCGGGAGAAGGCACGCUGAUAUGUAGGUGAAGUCCCUCGCGGAUGGAGCUGAAAUCAGUCGAAGAUACCAGCUGGCUGCAACUGUUUAUUAAAAACACAGCACUGUGCAAACACGAAAGUGGACGUAUACGGUGUGACGCCUGCCCGGUGCCGGAAGGUUAAUUGAUGGGGUUAGCCGCAAGGCGAAGCUCUUGAUCGAAGCCCCGGUAAACGGCGGCCGUAACUAUAACGGUCCUAAGGUAGCGAAAUUCCUUGUCGGGUAAGUUCCGACCUGCACGAAUGGCGUAAUGAUGGCCAGGCUGUCUCCACCCGAGACUCAGUGAAAUUGAACUCGCUGUGAAGAUGCAGUGUACCCGCGGCAAGACGGAAAGACCCCGUGAACCUUUACUAUAGCUUGACACUGAACAUUGAGCCUUGAUGUGUAGGAUAGGUGGGAGGCUUUGAAGUGUGGACGCCAGUCUGCAUGGAGCCGACCUUGAAAUACCACCCUUUAAUGUUUGAUGUUCUAACGUUGACCCGUAAUCCGGGUUGCGGACAGUGUCUGGUGGGUAGUUUGACUGGGGCGGUCUCCUCCUAAAGAGUAACGGAGGAGCACGAAGGUUGGCUAAUCCUGGUCGGACAUCAGGAGGUUAGUGCAAUGGCAUAAGCCAGCUUGACUGCGAGCGUGACGGCGCGAGCAGGUGCGAAAGCAGGUCAUAGUGAUCCGGUGGUUCUGAAUGGAAGGGCCAUCGCUCAACGGAUAAAAGGUACUCCGGGGAUAACAGGCUGAUACCGCCCAAGAGUUCAUAUCGACGGCGGUGUUUGGCACCUCGAUGUCGGCUCAUCACAUCCUGGGGCUGAAGUAGGUCCCAAGGGUAUGGCUGUUCGCCAUUUAAAGUGGUACGCGAGCUGGGUUUAGAACGUCGUGAGACAGUUCGGUCCCUAUCUGCCGUGGGCGCUGGAGAACUGAGGGGGGCUGCUCCUAGUACGAGAGGACCGGAGUGGACGCAUCACUGGUGUUCGGGUUGUCAUGCCAAUGGCACUGCCCGGUAGCUAAAUGCGGAAGAGAUAAGUGCUGAAAGCAUCUAAGCACGAAACUUGCCCCGAGAUGAGUUCUCCCUGACUCCUUGA
rnacentral:rRNA from 2 species